rnacentral:ncRNA from 1 species
ACAGACGCAAUGACGAAGAGAAGUAACCUAUGAAACGAUUCAAGAGAGCUGAUGGAUGGUGCGAAUCAGUAUCGGGAAACAGGUGAAUGGACUUCUGAGCAUCAGACCGAACUUAUAGUAGGCUCUGACGGGUACCUUCCGUUAUCAAGGACGACGAAUCAGGGUGACCGGUUCGUUCGAGGGGACUAGCAUUAGUCAACGAAGGUGGUACCGCGGGUUUUCCCGUCCUUCAU